AUUCUGACGUUGAGAGUUAUGACUUCUUAUCUCGAAAUAAAAUAUGGCGUCGAAUGCAGAAUUAUGAUAUCCUAGGAUGAAAUUAUGACUUUUUAUCUCAAAAUUAUGACAUCCUGAAACAGAGAAGUCUCCAAACAUAGAAUUAUGAGAUCUAUUGUAGGAAUUAUGAAUUCAUAGACAAAAUUAUGACAUCGUAGUUUAAAAUUGUGACAUUCAAGGAGGAUGAAAUGCCCACGAACUCAGAAAUAUGACAUCCAAAUUAUAGUUAUGAGAUAGUAGCCCGAAAUAAAGACAUCCUGGCCAAGAGAAUUCAUGGAAUGCAAAAUUAUGGAAUCAUAGGUUAAAAUUUUGCCUACCAAAUCAUCCCACAUUUGGAAUGCCACAAAAAAUAUACCCAUA
rnacentral:lncRNA from 1 species